AAGCGAAACCAGCCUGCGAGCUGCAAUUCUGACUGGAUACGACACCGAUAUUCGCCCGUAUGCAACAACGUCGGUGACAACAAUACUGGGUCUGAUGUCUUUAAACACGCUAGACAUGGGUGAACAGAAGAUGUCACUAACAGCGUUCUGGUUCACGUCGUGGAAUGAUAGCCGUCUCGGGUGGAACCCAGCAUCUUACGGUGGCAUCACUCAGCUUGUUAUAAACCAAGACAAGAUUUGGAAGCCACCACUAAUUGUGAAAAAUGA